CCUANGGGUGGCUGCAGUCAAGAAUAUUCCCCAAUGGCCGAAAGGCUGAGGGAGCGACGCCGCGUGUAUGAAGAAGCCCUUCGGGGUGUAAAGCACUUUCGAUGGGAACGAAAUGUGUCGGGCUAAUACCCCGGCAAGCUGACGUUACUCAAUGAAGAAGCACCGGCUAACUCUGUGCCAGCAGCCGCGGUAAUACAGAGGGUGCGAGCGUUAAUCGGAAUUACUUGGCGUAAAGCGCACGUAGGUGGCGACGUAAGUCGGGUGUGAAAGCCCCGGGCUCAACCUGGGAAUUGCAUUCGAGACUGCAUUGCUGGAGUACGGAAGAGGAGGGCGGAAUUCCCGGUGUAGCGGUGAAAUGCGUAGAUAUCGGGAGGAACAUCAGUGGCGAAGGCGGCCCUCUGGUCCAGUACUGACACUCAAGUGCGAAAGCGUGGGGAGCAAACAGGAUUAGAUACCCGANUANUC
rnacentral:rRNA from 1 species